ACAUACGACUAUAUCCACUAGAGAACUCGGGAUCCCGUCCGCUUUCCCAUCGAUAAACCAGUGAGGGCUGAACUAGUAGUUAGUCGGUGACGAGCAGCGAAUCCUUGGUAUUGUAUGUU
rnacentral:rRNA from 1 species